rnacentral:rRNA from 1 species
GACGAACGCUGGCGGCGUGCUUAACACAUGCAAGUCGAGCGGUAAGGCCCUUUCGGGGGUACACGAGCGGCGAACGGGUGAGUAACACGUGGGUGACCUGCCCUCAGCUCUGGGAUAAGCCUGGGAAACCGGGUCUAAUACCGGAUAUGACUCCAUGACGCAUGUUGUGGGGUGGAAAGCCUUGUGCGGCUGAGGAUGGGCCCGCGGCCUAUCAGCUUGUUGGUGGGGUGAUGGCCUACCAAGGCGACGACGGGUAGCCGGCCUGAGAGGGCGACCGGCCACACUGGGACUGAGACACGGCCCAGACUCCUACGGGAGGCAGCAGUGGGGAAUCUUGCGCAAUGGGCGAAAGCCUGACGCAGCGACGCCGCGUGA